UAUAGAAGCUUUAUAAACAAUAAGAAAGUAUUUGCAUUUUACAAAGUUUGUAAGAAUUCUCAUUCAUGAUUCGUUUUACGAAACGACGUUCGUGUUAAUGUUUCAUUAACCGCCAAAGCUAGUUUCAUAAAAAAUAAACAAGAUGGCACACAAAGUAGUGUAAACACUGAAUAUAAAGCAUAUCAGCAAGAUUUCUAUAAGAUAAGUAAUAUUAUGUAUAAUUUAAUGAAAGGAAAAUUAUAAUUAAUCAAAAAUCUUCACAAUAUAUCCGCAAAUAGCUUUGAAUAGUAUCUGGAUACGACGUCAGGAUCUCAGAAAUAAUAGAAAACGUGCCGUCAGCCCACGGGUGACCGCCGGCUAUAUAUCAUCUUAUAGAAUUGUUACGAUCGUGCUACGUACGAUAAAACUCUUUAAAGUUUUAUAUGUAUAAAAUUAAUAAAAAUAUCAAAAUAUAAUAACUUGAAGUAAACUCACAAUAUUACCAAAUUUAAAAUAUAACGAAUAUUACACAAAACACAACACACAUACACACAUUGUAAUAUUAUAUAACUUUAUUAGCAUUAAUAAAUAAUUAAAUGUUGAUAGUCGUAUCUCAGUUAAUGAAAAAAAAAAUAUACAGGAAAACGUGAGCUGUCUUUGAUCCAAUCCAGUAACAGUAGGUCAAUAUAAUCACGUGGCCGGUACACGUGAGCCUCAACCGCAGUAAAUACUAUCAACGCUGUAGAGUAUAGACGCUGCGGACGUCGAUUGUUACGACGCUCAUUGUACUUCACUACUUGUUAUGUUUCACGGCAAAAUAAAUUUAUAUUUGAUGAA